ACGAGGUGAUGAUGAAAUUCAUUGGUUUGUCAAUCCACUGACACGUGUGUGAUGUUAAUAAUGAAUCCCGACAGGUUCUGAUCGU